UACGUAGGGUGCUAGUGUUGUUCGGAAUCAUUGGGCGUAAAGCGCGUGUAGGCGGUCAACUAAGUCGGGUGUGAAAUCCCUGGGCUCAACCGAGGAAGUGCACUCGAAACUGGUUGGCUGGAAGACGGUAGAGGAAGGUGGAAUUCCUAGUGUAGAGGUGAAAUUCGUAGAUAUUAGGAGGAAUACCGGUGGCGAAGGCGGCCUUCUGGACUGUUCUUGACGCUGAGACGCGAAAGCGUGGGUAGCAAACAGG
rnacentral:rRNA from 1 species